rnacentral:sRNA from 1 species
AUUCAAUCUGCUGUCGAUAAUAAAGACGCAAGUUUAGC